ensembl:lncRNA
UGAUGCUUUUGAACUGUGGUGUUGGAGAAGACCCUUGAGAGUCUCUUGGUCUGCAAGGAGAUCUAACCAGUCCAUCCUAAAGGAAAUCAGUCCUGAAUAUUCAUUGGAAGGACUGAUGCUGAAGUUCCAAUACUUUGGCCACCUAAUGCAAAGAACCCACUCAGUGGAAAAGACCCUCAUGCUGGAAAAGACUGAAGGCAGGAGGAGAAGGGGACAACAGAGGAUGAGAUGGUUGGAUUGCAUCACCGAUGGGAUGGAUAUGAGUUUUAUCAGGCUCUGGGAAUUGGUGAUGGAAGCCUGGGAAGCCAGGGAAGCCUGGUGUGCUGCAGUCCGUGGGGUUGCAAAGAGCUGGACACAACUGAGGAACUGAACUGAUUUUUCACAUCACUUCUCCCAGAACCUGCCUAAGAGACUGGAUUCCUGAGCACAGAGCAGAGUUUGAAAUGAAACCUGCCUGAAUCUGCCAGACCAGCAGUUAAAGCUACACUUGUGUUGUUUAAUGAUCUCUGUAUCUUGCUUCAAAAGGAAGAGAAAUCAAAUUAGAGAGAUGGUGAUGACUGAGCCCAAGGCCAAGAGUGUUCUUCCCCCACCCCUUCUAACUUCUGAUUUCUUCUUAUGCCUCAAGUCUCUGCUUAAAUAUCACCUCCUGGGAGUUCCCUGUUGGUCCAAUGACUAAGACUCUGUGCUCCCAAUGCAAGGGACCUGAGUUUGAUCCCAAGUCAGGAAACUAAGUCCCACAUGCUGCCACCAAAAGACCCCCCAUGCAGCGACUAAGACCCAGCAGCAGCCCCCCGCCCACAAAAAAAAAAGUUUGGGGAAAAAACCUCAGAAAGAUCUUCCCUGAACAGUCACCUUAAAGAUGUUCUCUAUUUUGACAAACUAGGCCUCUUGUUCAUGUCUUUCACGGCAUUUCUUAGUCUUGUCAUUUAUUGAUCAGUUUACAUGUUUUUGCCCAUGUUCUGCACUGGAAGUCUUGCCCAGAAUCAGGGUCUUCUCCAGUGGGUCUUCACAUCAGGUGGCCAAAGUAUUGGAGCUUCAGCUUCAGCAUCAGUUCUUCCAAUGAAUAUUCAGGAUUGAUUUCCUUUAAGAUUGACUGGUUUGAUCUCUUUGCUGUCCAAGGAACUCUCAAGAACCUUCUCCAGCAUCACAAUUCAAAGAGAUAGACUCAGCUGAUAUUCUUCAGCCUUUUGCAUUUACCUUCAUGUUCUGCCUGGAACACAGAUGUGAUGGACAGAGGCACAGCAGCCUUCUUGAAAUCUUGGGAACAAAAAUUGACUUGAUAAGAAUGUUAAAGAAGAAAGAGCCUGGAUCCCUCCAGACUUCUUAUGUGAGAUGAAAAAAGUUCCAUAAAAAGUAUGCGCCGCUGUUAAUUUUCAUCUGUGCUACUUGCUGCCAAGCACAUUUCUGAC